GAUACCAUGGAUAGUGUCUCUAAACAAUGAUUACUCUCCUCCUCCUCCUCCUUCUUCUCCAGUUUAGAUAUCACCAAUUCCCAGCAAUCGUUAGUUAAACCAUCACCACCUGCCAUUCUUUUUCUGCUGCUUGAUGUUGAUGAUGCCAUUGGAUUGGAGCGAGCCACUCUCUCUUCUUCCAGAUCCUAUCGAUCCUUUUUCUUUUUUUAAUAACAAAAACAAACACUUCUUCAUACUAUGUCUAUAUAUAUAGCUUUUAUUUCAACGACUAUAACCUAAUUUUUCGUCUUAAAAAAAUACAAAAAAAACAACCUAUAG
rnacentral:lncRNA from 1 species